UACAGGGGGUGCAAACGUUGCUCGGAAUUAUUGGGCGUAAAGCGCGCGUAGGCGGCCGCUUAAGUCGGAUGUGAAAGCCCCUGGCUCAACUGGGGAAGUGCACCCGAAACUGAGUGGCUUGAGUACUAAAGAGGGUCGCGGAAUUCCCGGUGUAGAGGUGAAAUUCGUAGAUAUCGGGAGGAACACCGGUGGCGAAGGCGGCGACCUGGGUAGAUACGUGACGCUGAGGCGCGAAAGCGUGGGGAGCAACAGGGAUUAA
rnacentral:rRNA from 1 species